rnacentral:misc_RNA from 1 species
AAGUCGUAACAAGGUUUCCGUAGGUGAACCUGCGGAAGGAUCAUUAAAUAAUCAAUAAUUUUGGCUCGUCCAUUAUUAUCUAUUUACUGUGAACUGUAUUAUUACUUGACGCUUGAGGGAUGCUCCACUGCUAUAAGGAUAGGCGGUAGAGAUGUUAACCGAGUCAUAGUCAAGCUUAGGCUUGGUAUCCUAUUAUUAUUUACCAAAAGAAUUCAGAAUUAAUAUUGUAACAUAGACCUAAAAAAUCUAUAAAACAACUUUUAACAACGGAUCUCUUGGUUCUC